UCAUAGAGUUGGAAGAAACCCCAUCAAGUCCAACCCCUUGCAAUUCGGGAACACACAAUCAAAAGAAGAGCCAGCAUGCUUUGUUCUGAGGUGGAGGAAUAUACAACCCUACUAUCACCUUUCUGUGGGACAGAGUAUGGUAAAUUCUAGAAUCCAAGGCUUAUCUAAACAUGGGGUUGAAUCCUACCAGCCCUUCCAGGCCAACUCUGAGAGUUCUUGCCCCUCUUGCAACCGUCUUGCCUGGCUUCUGUAUGUGCAUGUCUCUAGUUGGCCUUUCUGGUGGUGAAAUAGGCUCCUCUUCCUGAUAGGUUCCAACCCGUGAUGUUUUCUGUGUGUGUUUGGAAGUUCCUUCUUGGAGCUCUGUUUCCUGCAUGUGGACCUGAUUCAUAUCUGGCCUGCUCUGUGUGAGGAGGGACUUUAGCCUCCCCCCUAUUCCUUUUUCCUGACCCUAAAUGGCUACAGGGGGUACUGUUUGCUAUGUUGGGGGCUUCAGGUGUACUGAUGGAGUCCACCAAGAUUUGCCCAGUGAGUUGGGAAAACAGCACGAGAGAGUGGGUUGAAAUCCUUUCUCCAUGGCACUAUGGUCCCAGUUCAUGUCAGACCCCCUCAUGGUAGAUGAAUACACAUAAAAGCUGCCUUGUACUGAAUCAGUACAUUGGCCCACAGAGGCGGAGUGAGGGGAAACUGUGCCUGGGGGAGCGCGUGCGCACCGCGCCCCUGCCACAGCACUGCCGCCCCAAAAGGGCCCCGUCAUGCCUCCUCCACGGCCUGGCCACAUCUCCGCCCGGGGCAUUCCCCCCUGGUCCCGUGGGCGCUACACCACUGUUGGCCCAUCAAUGUCAAUAAUGUCUUUGUCUGCUCAGGCCCCUUCCGCACAAGCAAAAUAAUGCACUUUCAAUCCACUUUCACAACUGUUUGCAAGUGAAUUUUGCUAUUCUGCCCAGCUGCAAAGUGCAUUGAAAGUGGAUUGAAAGUGCAUUGGCCCAACAAUAUCAGUAAUGUCUUUGUGUGCUCAGACUGGCUGUCUGCGGUUUUAAGUGGGGGUCUUUCAUGUCACCUCCUACUUGACCAUUUGGCCUGAACAUGCGGGGGAUUGAACCUGAGACCUUUUGCAUGGCAAGUAGAUGAUCUACCGCUGAGCCACAGCCCCUUUUGGAAGACCUGGACCCAACCAGAUGGCUGCUUAUCAUGCAGUUGGGACUUUAAUAAACUGGUCUGAUUGAGUUCUCUUGUACUGGAGAUGAUAAUUCCAUGCAGUGCAUGAUUCCUUAUUCCCCCUUAUCACUAGCAGGAGCAGCAUAAAUUAUGCAAAAUCAGUAAAUAUAAGCCCAUAAUUGAUAUAGGUUUGCAGAACUCAGUUUGGCGUCUGCACAAGUGAAAGACUGCUGGAUAGAUCUUUUGUAAGUGCAAUGGCAAAGUUGCCUGAGAAGGGGUGAUGAUAUCAGCUAAUAGCUGAUUUUCCUUGUUUUGAUGCCAUGCAUUAGUUGCAUGUAAGGCCCAGGUGAUCUCUUAAACUCCUAGACUGUGAAAAUCCUACUUGACAGGGCAGUCAGUUUUAGAUAGCUUUUUUUGGGUCCCUGUCAGCUCUUCAGUUUAUGGUGCAACUGGUCUGACUUCAAUGCUGGUUUUCCUUGGUUUUUCACAAUACUUUAGUUUCAGGUUGGGUAGCCAUGUUGGUCUUCAGCACAUAAGCAAGAUUCGGGUCCAAAAGAGCCUUCGAGACAAAUAAGAUUUUUAGGAGAUGAGUUUUAAGGAGAUUGGGGCCAUUAUGCAUGCAGUGUUUACCCCGAGACUGUCUGCUCUGCCGUGGGGUCUCCCUGCGAUUCCCUGUUUACAUGUAAGUCGACCCCAUUGUUUGGUCCAAUCCUAGCCAUCGUUUUGGGUUGCGGAUUUCAUUGCUCCACCCCCCCCCCCCCGGGUCUUUAAAAAAUAUUUUUGCCUAUUUUAAUAUUCUGCCGCCACUGGGUUAGAAAAUUAGAGUUAAAAAAAAUAAAAAUGAAUCUCAUCAUUCCUCUGGAAAUGCCUACCUGGGAAGUGAGUGGAAGUGCUCGUGCAAGGGAAGGUGGGGAAGAGCAGCAAGCCCAAAGCUGGAGAAACAGACACUGGAUUCCUUCCUGCACAGGCAGGGAAAUAUUCGCAGUUCCUACACUCUAGGAAACCCAGGGAUAAUCGGAUAUGUGAUGUGAGUGUGCGAGGAAGGAAAAGGCAACAAUAAGGGAAGUUCUACCCUGAAGAGAAUGUACCUGACUGCAGGGCAGACCAUGAGUGCAAAAUAGGGCAGAGCUUUAUCUAACCAAAGGAGCUUUCAGUAUUAAAAGCUUAUAAUCCGAACAUCUUGUGGGUCUCUAAGGUGCUACUGGACCUGAAUUUUGCUCAAAUACUUUAGGAAUCUGUUAAGAGAAGGUUGCUAUCUUGUACGGUCCACCGGCUUUCUAGCCUGACACCCUUGUUUACGUUUUCCCAACAGAACGGUUUAUAUUUUGCUUUGAAUUCUGAAUUGCACCAGAUUCCUGUUUUCAUGGCAGUUUCUCUCUUGAUUGAAACUGGAGGUGAACCUGAGCUUCUCGUGACCAGUAGUUGUUUGCCUUCUUGGAUGCGUAAGUGAGACUGAUUUGUGGAAGUUAAGUGGUUAACGGGAUAGAAGGAAAUACCGGUGCUAGAGAAGCACAGAGUCUUUUAAAGAGGUGUUUUAAAGGAGGUGGUAGCCAUACGAUCAUGCUGGUGGAGAUCAGUGAUGUGAGUGUUUUGAAGCACUUCGAAUAUCAUGAAUGUUUGGCAAAUUAAUAAUUCUUCUGUGGUACCCUGACAACACAUAAGGAAGACUGAGUUUCUAAAAAAAAAACCUGUUCAGGGUGACACUCGCAUGGUGUAGAUUUUUAUAUCCUUACAACAGCCAGGUACCGUAGGGGCGAAGGAGGAAUCACUGAUGCCGGCUGUCAGUGUAUUGCCUAAGGUAGAGGUGUCCAACUCUGGCGCUUCAGAUGUUCAUGGACUACAAUUCCCAUCAGCACCUGCCAGCAGGGGAUGAUGGGAAUUGUAGUCCACGGACAUCUGAAUCGCCAGAGUUGGACACCCCUGGCCUAAGGCCAUGGAAAGUUAAUGGACAAAGUGAGAUAUGAACUCACGUUUCCUGGCUUGGCCAGUAGGCCGUGUCAGCACCCACCUAUGUCGCAUUGAAUCAAAAGUCAUGUGAAAUGGUGUUAGCUGAGUCCUUUCCAAAAGCACCCCCAGAGCCAUAUCUCUUAUGUCGUUCCUAGUGCCCAGAAUUCUAUACUAAAAUAAGGUACCAAAUGCAGCAUUUCGGCUUCUCCUGAGAACUUUUUAGAGUACACGUUUGUAGAUCUUAUAAGUGUAGAGUUUGACAAUCAUCAUCGACCCCAAUUGUCCCUCUUAAAGCUGCAUUCACCACGCCUCAAUCCAUGCCACACGAUGUCCUUCAACCUUUUUGGGAUGUUAGCAUUCAUAUCCUGGACAACAGGCUGUCUAUCAGAGGUGCCUACACAGUUCAGUUGCCUAUGCAGAACACAGUGGAUUGCAGAAACUGCUGCUAAUGGGUAUAAGCCAGAGGUUUGCAGUCACCAAAUGCUGAAACGGAUAAUAACCGUGGUUUUCUAUGUUGGUAAACAUUUCCAAAAAUGGGAAUCCUCGUUUUUUGUGCAAACCGCCAUCUUUGACCCCUGAGCAUGGAGCUUUGUUUACUCUGUGGCAUUCCCACCAUUUACACCAAAAUUAUUUGGAUGGGGUGAAUGUUUUCAAAAGACUGGGCAUACAGAAGAUGGUGGAGGAGAAAGCAGUUCAUAGCUUUUGUGCCCCCUGUGGCUUUUGACCCUUAUUCUCGAGGCAAAAAAUGUGUUAAUUAGCAUCACUUUAUUUUGUAUUUUAUGAGUACUGAUUAUGGAUUUCCUUGGUGCAAGUUCUGGUGCUUAUUUUGAACACUUCUGAGUGUACCUAUUUACACUAAUGAAUGUUUUCAUGGAAGUACAGGAAAAAUAAAAUGUACCAUUGACUGCCUCCUUAACAUUGAGUUCUCAGUGAGUUACGUUUUUGUUUUGUUUGCUUUUAUACCACGUAUGUAUUCCCCGAAACCAAUUUUGUACUUUUUUAAACUUAAAGCAAAACGUUUCUUGUAUGUAUGUAUGUAAAUAUACAUAGAGAGAGAGAGAUCUGCAUGAUUAUAACAUAGAUAAACGUUUCGUUCUGAAAGGGGACGUCCCGGCCGCUCGGGUAUUGAAUCUAUUCAUAACGAUUGUACUAAAUACAUUUCAUAUGUAAAUAAAUGUUGGGGGAUCUCUUUUGUUGCCCCUUAAGAAUUGUGAGAUUCUGUUAUUUAUUGAUGAAGACUGUUUGUCAGCUUUGGGGGAGCGGGAACAAACACUGAUCCUUCUAAGGGUUCUCGUAAAUAUGCCGUCACAAAAGAGCUAUUAUCUCUUCUGGAUCUUCCUUGCUCUUCAUUCGUUGAUGGCAAAUUAAUGCUUGUUUUUUUUCCCCUUCCCCCUUUCUCUGUUUACUCAUCAAGUGUUUGGAGGUUAUAGAGAACUUUUAAUCUUUAAAAAAAAAACCCCACUAGCAGAAUAUUCUUGGGAUCCCAUUAGCCUUCCGUCAGUGAUGUGUGCUAGCUUAUCACUGCCUCUUUUUUAAAACAAACAAACUGUACCUCUUGAAACCCUCACACUUUGUUGAUGUGCACUUUUGGACUUGUAUAUCAAAUGGGUUGUCACGAUGCAGUGAUGGUGUGGUUUUCUUUUCUCAAUUUUUUUUGUACAGAGUGAAUGAAAUAAUAAAGGCUACCUUUUUAUUA